ensembl:ncRNA F40F12.11 ncRNA
GCGCGCGAAGCUCAGUGUUACGUUUCGGUGAGCAAAUAGAAAAGGACGUUGUCCAAACAAUUAUUAGACUUCCGCAUCAUAUACCUAUUUGGUGUUGAAUAAUAUUUUUGGUUUUGACCUCGGGUUUUCCUUGCGCGCUAGGUUUU